AUGCACGCUGGCGGCGUGCCUAAUACAUGCAAGUCGAGCGAACGGACGAGAAGCUUGCUUUUCUGAUGUUAGCGGCGGACGGGUGAGUAACACGUGGAUAACCUACCUAUAAGACUGGGAUAACUUCGGGAAACCGGAGCUAAUACCGGAUAAUAUUUUGAACCGCAUGGUUCAUAAGUGAAAGACGGUCUUGCUGUCACUUAUAGAUGGAUCCGCGCUGCAUUAGCUAGUUGGUAAGGUAGCGGCUUACCAAGGCAACGAUGCAUAGCCGACCUGAGAGGGUGAUCGGCCACACUGGAACUGAGACACGGUCCAGACUCCUACGGGAGGCAGCAGUAGGGAAUCUUCCGCAAUGGGCGAAAGCCUGACGGAGCAACGCCGCGUGAGUGAUGAAGGUCUUCGGAUCGUAAAACUCUGUUAUUAGGGAAGAACAUAUGUGUAAGUAACUGUGCACAUCUUGACGGUACCUAAUCAGAAAGCCACGGCUAACUACGUG
rnacentral:rRNA from 1 species